ACUGAACGCUGGCGGCAGGCUUAACACAUGCAAGUCGAGCGGGGGAAGGUAGCUUGCUACUGGACCUAGCGGCGGACGGGUGAGUAAUGCUUAGGAAUCUGCCUAUUAGUGGGGGACAACAUCUCGAAAGGGAUGCUAAUACCGCAUACGUCCUACGGGAGAAAGCAGGGGAUCUUCGGACCUUGCGCUAAAAGAUGGGCCUACGUCGGAUUAGCUAGUUGGUGGGGUAAAGGCCUACCAAGGCGACGAACUGUAGCGGGUCUGAGAGGAUGAUCCGCCACACUGGGACUGAGACACGGCCCAGACUCCUACGGGAGGCAGCAGUGGGGAAUAUUGGACAAUGGGGGGAACCCUGAUCCAGCCAUGCCGCGUGUGUGAAGAAGGCCUUAUGGUUGUAAAGCACUUUAAGCGAGGAGGAGGCUACUCUAGUUAAUACCUAGGGAUAGUGGACGUUACUCGCAGAAUAAGCACCGGCUAACUCUGUGCCAGCCGCCGCGGUAA
rnacentral:rRNA from 1 species